AUGAGCGGAACAGUGAAGAAGAUCGCCGGACUAUUGAUUGGGAAGGAAUGGCGAAGCUUCUUGUCACCGAUGAAGCUCGCAAGGAGUUUUCUAACCUACGUCGUGCCUUCGAUGAUGUCAACUCCCAACUUCAAACCAAGUUCAGCCAGGAGCCUGAGUCCAUUAACUGGGAAUAUUACAGGAAAGGAAUUGGUUCUCGCUUGGUAGACAUGUACAAAGAAGCCUAUGAAAGCAUUUAGAUUCUCAAGUUUGAGGACACAGUUACUCCUCAAUACAAACCCAAAUUUGAUGCGUUGUUGGUGGAACUGAAAGAAGCUGAGAAGCAAUCUCUCAAGGAAUCUGAAAGAUUAGAGAAGGAAAUUGCUGAAGUGCAAGAGUUGAAGAAAAAACUCAGUACCAUGACAGCAGAAGAAUACUUUGCGAAGCUUCCCGAGUUAAAGAAGAAAUUUGAUGAUGAAAUUCGAAAUGAUUACUGGGGCUACUAAGUUCGGCAUGAUGAGCAGUUUUCUGGAUCCUCCUGUGGGGUUGGAUUCUCUAAGUUCAUCUAUUAUUUAUUUUAGGAAUAAAAGUAAAGAACCAAUUGGUUUGUCAUUUCAUUUGGUGGGGGUAUUUUGAAGAAUGUGAACUGCUACAAUGUACUUUUUCUCUGAUAAGUUUAUCAUAAUUCCAUUACUGAGGAAAUCAUGAAUUCCUUGACACUG